UUCAAACAAAACAUGUUAUGCAUUAUAAUUCCUUUAUUAUUUUUUGUGGAUGUUUUAAUUGUGUAUAUCUAUGCAAUGAUGAUAUUUGGUAUUAUCUCGCAGGUCUCCAAGGUGUCCGAAAGUCUUGCAUGCGGCUUUCAUAAAAGGAAACAUCUGCUUGUAAUAGUGGUCCUGCUCCAGCGAGGCUGAGGGGAGUUAGGCUGGCGGAGGUGACUGACAGCUUCCCUGGCCCUGUUGUGCCUGGCAGAUGUGGAGGUGUCACAGUAGUGAUGAAUUGUUUACACUCACCUGUCUGCCACGUCCUUCAGCGUCGAGGGGAUAGGCCUGGGCGACGGGAAAGGGGUGGCGGCACUGCCACAGGGUCAACGUUAUCUUCAGACACGUUUACAAAUUAGCACUUCUCACAGGCCUGGGACCUGCUUUAUGAAGCCGAGUUUUCGGAGCACCCUGAAAGUGUGAAAGAGUUCCAGAGGGCAGAGCAUUUGGAGAAGUCUAGAUAAUGAGAUUCUUUUGUUAAUGCCAUUGAACUCGAUUCAAUUAGUGAAAAGGGCCCAUGUUUGUGACUAUUGCAUGCGCAGCAUACAGUGUGUUUCUGUAUGUAAUUGACUUUGGAAGCCCUCGAGGAGCAAACUUUUAGUGCGUUCAAACAUUCAAUGUUAUCGUCAAGCACAAAAGGAGAGCCAAAUAUGUCUUUUUUCUGUUUCUGUUUUUUUUUUUGUUUUGUUUUUCUUGAGCCAGCCUUUUCGUGAGCUGGUUUGGGGCUGAUCUUGUGUGCACUUGUGUGAUGUAUAGAUUAAUUAAAUAAGCAUAUUGAUUCCUGUUCUGGCAACACAGAGUGUGGGGUUUUAAUUAGCCCACGCUUGAGUGUGUUAAAAUCCCUGUCUUAUCUGUGUGGAACCAAGUGGAACUGAAUGCAUGAGGGCUGCUCAUCAACUCAAAAUCUCCAAUAACCUCCAAUUUCUUUUUUUCUUGUUUGUUUUAGUCCAACCCAAAUCACAAUCUUUAUC
ensembl:lncRNA